AGCAGAAACUAAGUUCUGCACAGAUCUGUUAACGUAAUUAACCGAAUCACGGAUGAUUUGUGUGAAUUAAGUUGCAGUUGACAUCUUCUAACGGUAAUCAUUCAGUCACAAUAGAGGUAUCACAGCACAUCUACUAUGACUGAAUGGUUACCUUUAGACUGCAAUGCCACACUGUUUUCUUCAAUCACUGGAGGAAACGAAUUGAAACUCGACUAUAUUGCUUUUUCUUGUGAAAAAGUAAGAAAUGGUUGCCCAUGUUGGCGAAACUGGUUGUCGUACGUUGUCACGCUUUUUCACCAUAUCAUGGCUUCACCCCCAUCUGUCAUUUGUACCAAUUGUUGAUAGUGGCAUAACAAGCCUUCACAUCUAGAUUUUUCCCAGUGGGGCUGGAUCCUUUUUUUUCGAUCACAACCACUUGUUUCAGUUGUUCCAAGUGUUGAAACUUUACUCAUUCAAGUACUGAGAGGUGGCUGCCCAUUACAAAAAAAGAGGUUAUCAUGGCUCUGUAACGGCAUGUGUGCAAAAUUGAAAAAAUUCUGUGCUGCAAUGGUCUGUAGUAUGUGCCCAACAUAUAACGAUGUGAACAGCAAAAAAGGGUUGGUCAUUCCAAAUAUCAAAAGUGCUGAAUUCUGGAAAAUAUACCUAUUUUCUGCCGUUUCGUCAAUCUCUAUCCAGUAUGUUUGACAAUGGAAGCCUUGCUCACUCAGACUGCUCCAGAUCAAUGUCAGGCAAAGUCACAUGACUAUGUAAUUAUUUUGCUGUGGUGUUUCAUUGUACAGCUGAAUUAGAUUACAUGCCUACUGUGAAAGAGAUCAAGAAUCUAUUACCGAAACGGGCUCUCUCCGUUCGCGACAUCAGACUUCUCCAGUCGGCCGUUCUGACGCAGACCUCCUGAAAAGAAGUUGGAACGUUUUGAACUGUCUAGGACCAAACAUCAAGUUCUAAAUCUGUUUUUGUUUUCUGCCUGGAAAUAAAAAAUUACAACUAAUUGAAAUGUCAUUAUUGAGUUGUUUGCAUAGGUAUUAGAAAAUAGGCAGUCGCCUUCUGGUUAGUUUCUUUUGCUGUCCGACGCCAUGCAUAUCGUGCCAAACGAUCUGAAUUAUACUUAGCGUUCAUUCGGAAUAGCUGUUUACUUCCUCGACGUCAUGCCUCACGUUAUAUCGACUCGCAAAAUCAAUUCAGAAGAGGGUCCCUCUUCGUUGACGUAUGGAACGAAAGCUUUGCGGAACGGCGAGACACUAGCAAAUUCCGGAUGUGGAAAUUUCGAAGACUGCUACCUGCAC